rnacentral:rRNA from 16 species
UAUUGAGUGGUAACACAAGCUAAGCUGGGGACGGCAGCGGGGGCCCCGGGGAGAGUUCUCUCUUCUUGUUAACAAGCGCACUGACCCUGGAAUCGGAUCGACCGGAGAUAGGGUUGGGGGCUUGGAAAAGGCGGUUAAUUUUUGACCGCUCCGGUGCGCUCUCGAUGUCCCAUGAAAACUCAGCGGAGUGACUUAUUCGCACCCCUGGUCGUACUCAUAACCGCAUCAGGCCUCCAAGGUUAGCAGCCUCUAGU